rnacentral:rRNA from 1 species
AGUGAACGCUGGCGGUAGGCCUAACACAUGCGAGUCGAACGGCAGCACAGUAAGAGCUUGCUCUUACGGGUGGUGAGUGGCGGACGGGUGCGGAAUACAUCGGCAUCUACUUUUUCGUGGGGGAUAACGUAGGGAAACUUACGCUAAUACCGCAUACGACCUACGGGUGAAAGCAGGGGAUCUUCGGACCUUGCGCGAUUGAAUGAGCCGAUGUCGGAUUAGCUAGUUGGCGGGGUAAAGGCCCACCAAGGCGACGAUCCGUAGCUGGUCUGAGAGGAUGAUCAGCCACACUGGAACUGAGACACGGUCCAAACACCUACGGGAGGCAGCAGUGGGGAAUAUUGGACAAUGGGCGCAAGCCUGAUCCAGCCAUACCGCGUGGGUGAAGAAGGCCUUCGGGUUGUAAAGCCCUUUUGUUGGGAAAGAAAAGCAGCAGGUUAAUACCCCGCUGUUCUGACGGUACCCAAAGAAUAAGCACCGGCUAACUUCGUG